rnacentral:rRNA from 1 species
GGGUUGUGAGGUUAAGCGACUAAGCGUACACGGUGGAUGCCCUGGCAGUCAGAGGCGAUGAAGGACGUGCUAAUCUGCGAUAAGCGUCGGUAAGGUGAUAUGAACCGUUAUAACCGGCGAUUUCCGAAUGGGGAAACCCAGUGUGUUUCGACACACUAUCAUUAACUGAAUCCAUAGGUUAAUGAGGCGAACCGGGGGAACUGAAACAUCUAAGUACCCCGAGGAAAAGAAAUCAACCGAGAUUCCCCCAGUAGCGGCGAGCGAACGGGGAGCAGCCCAGAGCCUGAAUCAGUAUGUGUGUUAGUGGAAGCGUCUGGAAAGGCGCGCGAUACAGGGUGACAGCCCCGUACACAAAAAUGCACAUGCUGUGAGCUCGAUGAGUAGGGCGGGACACGUGGUAUCCUGUCUGAAUAUGGGGGGACCAUCCUCCAAGGCUAAAUACUCCUGACUGACCGAUAGUGAACCAGUACCGUGAGGGAAAGGCGAAAAGAACCCCGGCGAGGGGAGUGAAAAAGAACCUGAAACCGUGUACGUACAAGCAGUGGGAGCACGCUUAGGCGUGUGACUGCGUACCUUUUGUAUAAUGGGUCAGCGACUUAUAUUCUGUAGCAAGGUUAACCGAAUAGGGGAGCCGAAGGGAAACCGAGUCUUAACUGGGCGUUAAGUUGCAGGGUAUAGACCCGAAACCCGGUGAUCUAGCCAUGGGCAGGUUGAAGGUUGGGUAACACUAACUGGAGGACCGAACCGACUAAUGUUGAAAAAUUAGCGGAUGACUUGUGGCUGGGGGUGAAAGGCCAAUCAAACCGGGAGAUAGCUGGUUCUCCCCGAAAGCUAUUUAGGUAGCGCCUCGUGAAUUCAUCUCCGGGGGUAGAGCACUGUUUCGGCAAGGGGGUCAUCCCGACUUACCAACCCGAUGCAAACUGCGAAUACCGGAGAAUGUUAUCACGGGAGACACACGGCGGGUGCUAACGUCCGUCGUGAAGAGGGAAACAACCCAGACCGCCAGCUAAGGUCCCAAAGUCAUGGUUAAGUGGGAAACGAUGUGGGAAGGCCCAGACAGCCAGGAUGUUGGCUUAGAAGCAGCCAUCAUUUAAAGAAAGCGUAAUAGCUCACUGGUCGAGUCGGCCUGCGCGGAAGAUGUAACGGGGCUAAACCAUGCACCGAAGCUGCGGCAGCGACGCUGAUGCGUUGUUGGGUAGGGGAGCGUUCUGUAAGCCUGUGAAGGUGUGCUGUGAGGCAUGCUGGAGGUAUCAGAAGUGCGAAUGCUGACAUAAGUAACGAUAAAGCGGGUGAAAAGCCCGCUCGCCGGAAGACCAAGGGUUCCUGUCCAACGUUAAUCGGGGCAGGGUGAGUCGACCCCUAAGGCGAGGCCGAAAGGCGUAGUCGAUGGGAAACAGGUUAAUAUUCCUGUACUUGGUGUUACUGCGAAGGGGGGACGGAGAAGGCUAUGUUGGCCGGGCGACGGUUGUCCCGGUUUAAGCGUGUAGGCUGGUUUUCCAGGCAAAUCCGGAAAAUCAAGGCUGAGGCGUGAUGACGAGGCACUACGGUGCUGAAGCAACAAAUGCCCUGCUUCCAGGAAAAGCCUCUAAGCAUCAGGUAACAUCAAAUCGUACCCCAAACCGACACAGGUGGUCAGGUAGAGAAUACCAAGGCGCUUGAGAGAACUCGGGUGAAGGAACUAGGCAAAAUGGUGCCGUAACUUCGGGAGAAGGCACGCUGAUAUGUAGGUGAAGUCCCUCGCGGAUGGAGCUGAAAUCAGUCGAAGAUACCAGCUGGCUGCAACUGUUUAUUAAAAACACAGCACUGUGCAAACACGAAAGUGGACGUAUACGGUGUGACGCCUGCCCGGUGCCGGAAGGUUAAUUGAUGGGGUCAGCGCAAGCGAAGCUCUUGAUCGAAGCCCCGGUAAACGGCGGCCGUAACUAUAACGGUCCUAAGGUAGCGAAAUUCCUUGUCGGGUAAGUUCCGACCUGCACGAAUGGCGUAAUGAUGGCCAGGCUGUCUCCACCCGAGACUCAGUGAAAUUGAACUCGCUGUGAAGAUGCAGUGUACCCGCGGCAAGACGGAAAGACCCCGUGAACCUUUACUAUAGCUUGACACUGAACAUUGAGCCUUGAUGUGUAGGAUAGGUGGGAGGCUUUGAAGUGUGGACGCCAGUCUGCAUGGAGCCGACCUUGAAAUACCACCCUUUAAUGUUUGAUGUUCUAACGU